rnacentral:rRNA from 1 species
CAUGGCGGAUGCCUUGGCUCAUGGAGGCGAUGAAGGACGUGAUAAGCUGCGAUAAGCCCGGGGUAGGUGCAAAUGACCUCUGAUCCCGGGAUUUCCGAAUGGGACAACCCGGCUGUCUGAAGGACAGCCGCCGUCGGCACAGUCCGAUGGCGCCAACCGAGGGAACUGAAACAUCUUAGUACCUCGAGGAAAAGAAAACAAAACGUGAUUCCCCCAGUAGUGGCGAGCGACCGGGGAAGAGCCCAAACCGCAGGCGUAGCAAUGCGCCU